rnacentral:rRNA from 1 species
AUUGAACGCUGGCGGCAUGCCUUACACAUGCAAGUCGAACGGCAGCACGGGAGCAAUCCUGGUGGCGAGUGGCGAACGGGUGAGUAAUAUAUCGGAACGUGCCCAGUCGUGGGGAUAACGUAGCGAAAGCUACGCUAAUACCGCAUACGAUCUAUGGAUGAAAGCGGGGGAUCGCAAGACCUCGCGCGAUUGGAGCGGCCGAUAUCAGAUUAGGUAGUUGGUGAGGUAAAGGCUCACCAAGCCGACGAUCUGUAGCUGGUCUGAGAGGACGACCAGCCACACUGGGACUGAGACACGGCCCAGACUCCUACGGGAGGCAGCAGUGGGGGAAUUUUUGGACAAUGGGCGGCAAGCCUGAUCCAGCAAUGCCGCGUGCAGGAUGAAGGCC